AGUGGCGAACUGGUGAGUAACACGUGGGUAACCCGCCCUUGAAGUAGGGGAUAACACUUGGAAACAGGUGCUAAUACCGUAUAACAACCAAAACCACCUGGUUUUGGUUUAAAAGACGGCUUCGGCUGUCACUUUAGGAUGGACCCGCGGCGUAUUAGCUUGUUGGUAAGGUAACGGCCUACCAAGGCGAUGAUACGUAGCCGACCUGAGAGGGUAAUCGGCCACAUUGGGACUGAGACACGGCCCAAACUCCUACGGGAGGCAGCAGUAGGGAAUCUUCCACAAUGGACGAAAGUCUGAUGGAGCAACGCCGCGUGAGUGAUGAAGGGUUUCGGCUCGUAAAACUCUGUUGUUGGAGAAGAACAGGUGUCAGAGUAACUGUUGACAUCUUGACGGUAUCCAACCAGAAAGCCACGGCUAACUACGUGCCAGCAGCCGCGGUAAUACGUAGGUGGCAAGCGUUGUCCGGAUUUAUUGGGCGUAAAGCGAGCGCAGGCGGUUUUUUAGGUCUGAUGUGAAAGCCUUCGGCUUAACCGGAGAAGUGCAUCGGAAACCGGGAGACUUGAGUUGCAGAAGAGGACAGUGGAACUCCAUGUGUAGCGGUGAAAUGCGUAGAUAUAUGGAAGAACACCAGUGGCGAAGGCGGCUGUCUUGGUCUGUA
rnacentral:rRNA from 1 species